AUGAUUCCGGAGCAACAGGUCCUUGGUGGGAUGAGAGGGAUUACUGGAAUGCUCUGGGAAACAUCUUUACUUGACCCAGAGGAGGGUAUUCGAUUUAGAGGUCUCUCUAUUUCAGAGUGCCAGAAAGUACUGCCGGCUGCAGUUAAAGAUGGAGAACCUUUACCUGAGGGUCUCCUUUGGCUUGUUUUGACCAGAAAGGAAUUGGCGAUGAUCAAUUUACAGUCAAUUAUCAAUUUGUGCGGUUCAUUAAAUAAUCAAGAUAACACGUGGAGGCCCAUUCUUCUUUGGGCCAGCAGCCUUCUCGCCAAUGAAGGCAUUUCUACCCGGUCCUUUUCUUCUAUCCUGCUGCAGGAACCAAACACUAUACCUUCUUCGGUCUUCAAUCUGUUUUCUUCUUCAAUGAAGCUGACCAUGACAUCCUGCACGUACUGCACCGCUCCCAGAGGUAUCUUUCUCUCUUCCAGAUCCAGUUCAUUUUUCUCUGGGUUUAGUUAUGCUUAUGAUUGCCUGCUGUGCCUAUAUUUGCUCGCCAUCACAUGUCCGCGGUGCAUGUCAGUGUUAAUUAUAUUUGCACAAUCAGAUAGGGGUAGAUGGCCUCCUGCCCUUGGUUGCUUCCCCUCUGCUUACUAA
rnacentral:rRNA from 1 species